rnacentral:rRNA from 1 species
GCUCGUAGUUGGAUUUCGGGUGUGAAUGACCGGUCCGUCUUUGAUGUGUACUGGUUGGUUGCGCCUUAUUGUCGAGGACGUGGUUCUGGCUUUCAUUAGCUGGGACACGGAGUCGGCAGCGUUACUUUGAGAAAAUUAGAGUGUUCAAAGCAGGCUAUCGCUCUGAAUACUACAGCAUGGAAUAACACGAUAGGACUCCGAGCCUAUUCCGUUGGUCUUCGGGACCGGAGUAAUGAUUAAGAGGGACAGUUGGGGGCAUUCGUAUUCCGAUGUCAGAGGUGAAAUUCUUGGAUUAUCGGAAGACGAACAUCUGCGAAAGCAUUUUGCCAAGGAUGUUUUCAUUAUUCAGAGAACGAAAGUUGGGGGCUCGAAGAAAGACAAAUACCUCUCCCUAGGUCUCAACCAUAAACGAUGCCGACUAGGGAUUGGCGGAUGUUUUUUUGAUGACUCCGUCAGCACCUUACAAG